CCACUGGUAGACAAAGUUAGAAAGUUAAGGGGUCCCAUUAAUCACUAUUGUUGGGGUCCGACCCCAUGAUUGGGGUUCCACCAAUCACUAUCUCAAAACAUCUGUCAGAUUGAAAUUUAAAAGCCCAUGUUUUCUGAGGACAAAUAUUUAUACAAAUUCAAUUACUGAGUUUACUGCUCAUAGUAAGAUUUUUUUGUAUAAAACAUUUAUAAUUUAUUGGUCUUUUGGGGGAAUUAGAUGCUUCACCACUGUAUUACAACUGAGCCAUUAUUUGUAGCUUCAUCAACAUUAACUGGUUCACUUUAAUGAUGCACUGAGGAAUUAGUUCUUCCUGCAGAGAUUUUUUUAAAAAGGACUUUUGAGAAGUGUGCAGGUUCCUUUUGUAUAUUUACAAAAGCUUUAUUUACUCUUAAUUUUUUUGUCAUUUAUAAUGUUUAUCUUCUUAAAAUUAGUGGUAACUCAGGCUGGGUGUGGUGGCUCACAUCUGUAAUCCCAGCACUUUGGGAGGCCAAGGCGGGCGGAUCACCUGAGAUCAGGAGUUCAAGACCAGCCUGGCCCGUCUCUAAUAAAAAUACAAAAUUAGCUGGACAUGGUGGCGCACACCUGUAAUCCCACCUACUUGGGGGGCUGAGGCAGGAGAAUCACUUGAACCCAGGAGGCAAAGGUUGCAGUGAGCAGAGAUCACACCAUUGCACUCCAGCCUGGGCAACAAGAGCGAAACUCCGUCUCAAAAAAAAAAAGAUUAGUGGUAACUGGUUUUGCUUUGUUUUUGGCCUUCAUGUUUUUUUGGUUGGCUAUGUGAAAUACAUUCCUGGACUUCUGCCCUCUUUAUUUGUUCUUGGCUAUUGUCUCUCACCAGGCCUUCAAUGAACUUCUUAAGCUCCAGGUGAUGCCAUUUGUUUCAUGGUAAGUUUUUAAGUCAAGUGUUAUGGGAAAUAAGUUCUUUAGAAUAUGUAAUUUAUAAAUUCUUGGAGAAAUCAGCCCUACACACCCUACCUUCUCAAAGUCUAAUGUGUAAUUAUAGAAAGCAGAAUCAGGUUUAUGUUUCCCAGAGUUAGGAAGCUUCUACUUUGUAGAAGUGAAGUAGCCCUAAGUAAAAGACAUGUAUCUACAAUCGAGACUCAUUCCAACU
rnacentral:lncRNA from 10 species